rnacentral:rRNA from 1 species
AGCAGUGGGGAAUAUUGGACAAUGGGCGCAAGCCUGAUCCAGCCAUGCCGCGUGAGUGAUGAAGGCCCUAGGGUUGUAAAGCUCUUUUGUGCGGGAAGAUAAUGACGGUACCGCAAGAAUAAGCCCCGGCUAACUUCGUGCCAGCAGCCGCGGUAAUACGAAGGGGGCUAGCGUUGCUCGGAAUCACUGGGCGUAAAGGGUGCGUAGGCGGGUUUUUAAGUCAGGGGUGAAAUCCAGGAGCUCAACUCCAGAACUGCCUUUGAUAUUGAAGAUCUUGAGUUCGGGAGAGGUGAGUGGAACUGCGAGUGUAGAGGUGAAAUUCGUAGAUAUUCGCAAGAACACCAGUGGCGAAAGCGGCUCACUGGGCCCGAUACUGACGCUGAGG